UACGUAGGGUGCAAGCGUUGUCCGGAAUUAUUGGGCGUAAAGAGCUCGUAGGCGGUCUGUCGCGUCGGCUGUGAAAACCCGGGGCUCAACCCCGGGCCUGCAGUCGAUACGGGCAGACUAGAGUGCGGUAGGGGAGACUGGAAUUCCUGGUGUAGCGGUGGAAUGCGCAGAUAUCAGGAGGAACACCGAUGGCGAAGGCAGGUCUCUGGGCACUUACUGACGCUGAGGAGCGAAAGCGUGGGGAGCGAACAGG
rnacentral:rRNA from 1 species